rnacentral:rRNA from 1 species
GUGUCAGCCGCCGCGGUAAUACGGAGGGUGCAAGCGUUAUUCGGAAUCACUGGGCGUAAAGGACACGUAGGCGGAUUGGAAAGUCAGAUGUGAAAUCCUACAGCUUAACUGUAGAACUGCAUUUGAAACUUCUAAUCUAGAGUAUGGGAGGGGGAGAUGGAAUUAGUGGUGUAGGGGUAAAAUCCGUAGAUAUCACUAGGAAUACCUAAAGCGAAGGCGAUCUCCUGUAACAUAACUGACGCUAAGGUGUGAAAGCGUGGGGAGCGAAACGGGAUUAGAUACCCCGGUAGUCCACGCCCUAAACGAUGAACACUAGUCGUCGGAAUGCUAGUCAUUUCGGUGAUGCACUUAACAGAUUAAGUGUUCCGCCUGGGGAGUACGGUCGCAAGAUUAAAACUCAAAGGAAUUGACGG